UUCUCUUCCUCCUCUGCGGGCUCAGCGGGCACCAGCAAUGCAGUCCUCAAACACGGACGUUGGAGUGAUUAUUCCCACCCCAAGAGUGAACACCUACUAUGUGCUGGACCCUAGACCAAACACACAACACACAUAAAGAUACACAACACACACACACGUACACACACACACACCCCAACAGGCAUGACCUCAUUAGAGAUCUCUGAUCAUUUCAACAAGCAGUUACUCUGGGCCAGACGCGGCCCACUACAGAGAUAGACAAGACCUGUGGUCUCCUUCCUUAGCGCCAGAAUCUCCUAGAAGGCUCUAGUUCCUCUUCAGCUCCAGCCCUAAACUCUGAAUUCAUUCUCGCUCUGGAGCUCCCAUGUCAGCGAAGCCAUGCCUUCAACCUUUCCAUGGGCCCCUAUUUUGUGGCUCAGUGUCCCUGAGCUCUGAGUAUCUCCAUUCACAAGCUCUAGACAAGGGAAGGCUCUGAGCAAAGUCACGGAGCUGCCGGGCAGCCUGAGCGUCUGGAAAUGCUACGGGAAAUGCACAGGGUGUUGAGCAGCUGCACACAUCACUCCUUCCUCGUGAGGUCCCCUUGGCCCUUUACCUCCAGCUGAGUAAGUCAAAGGAGGACAUAUGAUCAAACCAGGCAGUCCACCGGCUGACCUCUGACCUACAGCCUAGAACAAAAAGAGGACCUGGGCCAAUCCAAUUAUCUCUCAGGAAUGCAAAAGGAGGUAGGAAACGAACAGGCAAUUGGCCGCAGAAGCCAAAGCACAGAGGAUGCUCUGAGAAACACAAAGGCCACAAGAGGUCUUGACAAACCAAACUUCGAUGCAAAUUGGUCUAUAAACUUCUUAAGUCUCUUUGCCUGUACAGUUUGCCCCUCCCUCUCUGAUACUGUGUCCUUAUCUGCAGAAGGAACUGAGUUUCCCACGGUCUGGACUGCACUGAUUACAUCUUCAUAGUGUCCUUUAGCAAGUGCCUCUG